UACAGAGGGUGCGAGCGUUAAUCGGAAUUACUGGGCGUAAAGCGCGCGUAGGCGGCUUUUCAAGUCGAUUGUGAAAAUCCCCGGGCUUAACCUGGGAACUGCAGUCGAGACUGUCUAGCUAGAGUAUGGGAGAGGGAAGUGGAAUUUCAGGUGUAGCGGUGAAAUGCGUAGAUAUCUGAAGGAACAUCAGUGGCGAAAGCGACUUCCUGGACCAAUACUGACGCUCAUGUGCGAAAGCGUGGGGAGCAAACAGG
rnacentral:rRNA from 1 species